AAAAUUGGCGGUAUUUAAAUCUCAUUAGGGGAAUUUGUCUUUUAAAUGAUAAUCCGCAAGAUACCUUACUUUACUUUUUAAUUUAUUUAUUGCCGUUAUCAGAUUAUUUUUUAAGAAAUUAAAUUUUCAUAAAUAUUUCAUAGUAGUAUUUAUUUCAGGUCAUUAUGUAGUUUAUGGUAGAGUUAAGAUGAAUUACAAUAAAUUUGUAUUUAUAUGGAUAUAAAAAUGAAUAUUUUUAUUGAAAGUGGACUUAAUAGUAAAUUUAAAUAAAAUAUUAAUU
rnacentral:rRNA from 1 species